CCUGAAAAUCAUAGGAGGUCCAGCCUGCCCAGUGACAAAGUUAAACGGCCGCGGUACCCUAACCGUGCGAAGGUAGCGCAAUCACUUGUUCUUUAAAUGAGGACUAGUAUGAAUGGCAUCACGAGGGUUACACUGUCUCCCCCAUCCAAUCAGUGAAACUGAUCUCCCCGUGAAGAAGCGGGGAUAAAAAUAUAAGACGAGAAGACCCCAUGGAGCUUUAAACUCAGUAUCAACUGCUUUACAACAGACCUAAGUAACCUAGCAGAAAUGACUACUAGUUUUUGGUUGGGGUGACCGCGGAGCAAACACAACCUCCACGAUGAAUGGGCCUCCUACCCUUAUCCCAGAGCUACCACUCUAAGAAUCAAAAAAUUGACAAAAAUUGAUCCAAGUACUCUUGAUCAACGAACCA
rnacentral:rRNA from 1 species